ACGUCAUCAUGACUACUGUUGUUAAACCCGCAUUGGUUCAAAUCCGGUCCAUAUUCAAAUUUAAAUUAAAGUCAAAACAUUUAAAGUUUUCAAAUGUCAGAACUAAAAUGUUCAUAAUGUUGCAAAUAAUCACCAAGUAGUUUUCAUGGAAAAACCAACGUUAUUUGAAUUAAUGAAAUGCCCCUAACCUUUUCAAAAUAGAGCCAAUAUAGCAACUUUUAACUCAUUUAUAUUUAAACCCAAUCCUAAUGAAUUCAACAACCCUCACACUUUUUGUGACAGUACUAGGUUUUUCCCUAGUAUUUAUUCUGCUCAAUAACACUUUUUUCAAAACUCAUGUAGUGCAAGAAAUAGUGCAAAACAGAAAAGGAUAACAUAAAACAAAACUAAAAAAAGAAAGAAAAAAUAAAAACAAAGCCCCCCUCUUCAUGGGCCUAAUGGCCCAACCGGCCACCCAUGCCACCAGGAGGCCCAUCCCGUCCCACCUUAUCCCCGAGCAACGAAACCUAGCCCGCACCCACCACUCACCCCCACUCCCCCCAUGUUCGUCCCUCCCUGAUCCAGAUCAGGAUCGGGGGAAGGGACUGCAUCGCUGCACGCACCCGUCGCCUACUCCGGUGCCCACCGUGCCCUCUCCUCCUCUCGCGGCCGCGCGGCCGCGCCACCGCCGCCGCGCCCGCGCCCGGGGAUCCGCCACCUCCCGCCGUCCUCGCACCAUCGCCUCGCAUGAGCUCCUCCCAUGGCCACCGCCUAGUUGUGUCGCGCCAAGUCGCCCCUCACCGGAGAUGGACGGAUCCCGGAGGCCCCGUCGCGGGUCCGGCCUCCCUCGCCUUCUUCCCGCUCACCGGAGCCCCCCUCGUCACCCGCCGCCGUCGACGGAACCUCCCCGACCUCCUCCUCACGGGUCGCCGCCACGCCUCGCCGCCCCCGCUCCCCGCCAACGGCUGUGAGCGCCAACCUCGUCUCCUUUUCUCCUCGCCGCAGUCACCGACGCCCCGCGCUGAUCCGUGCACCCUCUCGCCCACACAUGGCCUCGCCUCCCUCUGUUACUGCUCACCCGUCGUUGCUCGCGGCUGGCCUCGCACAGUUUUGCAUCUGCCGUGCCCCAGCCCGCUCCGGCGUGCAUGCGCCUCGUCGGCAUUGCUCUUAUCCGGGGCCAUGCCCUGCUCCCCCGUCGCGCUUUGCGCUCGUCGCCGGCGCUCCUCUGUGAGCGGUCGCGCGUUGCCAAGCCAUGGCUGCUUGUGCCACUGCCACUAGGACCAACCCCCUUAAAAAGAGAAACGAAAUGAAUAACCAAAAGAAAUAAAUAAAAUAGGAUAAAUAGUUAAUUAAUUAUUUGGUUAAUUAACCUAAUUAAUUGGUUUAGCUAGCCUAACAGAAUAUGACAGUGGAACCCCUAGUUAAACUAAACUCUUGAACUAACCCUAGACUAUGACAUGUGGCCCCACCUUGGCCAGUUUGACCAGUCAAACUGCUGACUGUGUAUCACCUAGCCAAUGACAGAUGGCGCCCACCGCACUGUUCACGUUUGACCAGUCAAAUGUUAAAUGCUGAGUCAACUGUUGACUUGGGCCCACUGUUAGCCUCAAGCACACACUGAUGGGUACACUUUCGGGUGCACUUAGCAUGUAGUCCUUAUAAUAUUUUGAAUUAGUAUUAAAUUCAGAAAUUCAGAAAAUAAAUUAAAACUUUGAAAGUUAAUAUAAAAUGAUCCGUUACUCGGAUGAAAAAACUUUGUACAUAAAAGUUGCUCAGAACGACAAGACGAAUCCGCAUACACAGCCUGUUCGUCUGUCACGCAUCCCUAACAUAGCGAACACACAACUUUCCCCCUCCGGUUCAUCUGUCCGAAAACGUGAAAUACCGGGGAUAUUUUCCUGGAUGUUUCCCCCCUUCACCGGUACCACCUCAUACCGCGUUAGGGCACCCCUAGCACCGCUACUUGUCUUGUCAUGCAUCGCUAUGCAUCUGUUUGCUUAAUAUUUAUUGUUUCUUCCCCCUCUUCUCUCGCUAGACACCGAGACCGACACCGCUGCUACCCAGUACGACUAUGUUGUUGACGACCCCUCUCUCUUGGCAGAGCAACCAGGCAAGCCCCCCCCCCCCUUGAUCACCAGAUAUGGCCUACUCUUCUCUAUACUGCUUGCAUUAGAGUGGUGUAGCAUGUUACUGCUUUCUGUUAAUCCUAUCCUGAUGCAUAGCCUGUCCUUGUUACUACUGUUGUUACCUUUACCUGCAAUCCUAAUGCUUAGUAUAGGAUGCUAGUUUAUCAUCAGUGCCCCUACAUUCUAGUUCGUCUGCCAUGCUAUACUAUCGGGAUGUGAUCACUCGGGAGGUGAUCACGGGUAUAUACUUAUACAUAUAUACAUGCUAUAGGUGGUGACUAAAGUCGGGUCAGCUCGUUGAGUACCCGCAAGUGAUUCUGAUGUGGGGGCUGAAGGGGCAGGUGGCUCCAUCCAGGUAGUGGUGGGCCUGAGUUCCCGACGGCCCCCAACUGUUACUUUGAGGCGGAGCGACAGGGCAGGUUGAGACCACCUAGGAGAGAGGUGGGCCUGGCCUGGUCGGUGUUCGUGGUUACUUCAAGAUAACACGCUUAACGAGAUCUUGGUAUUUGAUCUGAGUCUGGCUACUGGCCUAUACGCACUAACCAUCUAAGCAGGGACAGUUAUGGGCACUCGACGUCGUGGUAUCAGCCGAAGCCUUCGUGACAUCAGUGACUGAGCGACGCGCGGCGGGUUGGACCGCGUAACGCAACUUCCUUUGUAAUGGAGGUUGCUAGGUCUGCUCACCGGCCGCGUAUGCAACGUGCAGGUGUGCAAUGGGCGAUGUGCCCAGACCCCUGCGCCAUAGGAUUUAGACCGGCGUGCUGACCUCUCUGUUGUGCCUAGGUAGGGAUGCACGUGUUGAUCUUCCGAGGCUGGGCAUGACCCAGGAAAGUGUGUCCGGCCAAAUGGGAUCGAGCAUGUUGGGAAAUGUGAUGCACCCCUGCAGGGAAGUUGAUCUAUUCGAAUAGCCGUCUCCCUCGGUAAAAGGAUGACCCAGAGUUGUACCUUGACCUUAUGACAACUAGAACCGGAUACUUAAUAAAACACACCCUUCCAAGUGCCAGAUACAACCGGUGAUCGCUCUCUCACAGGGCGACAAGGGGAGGAUCAUCGGUUAAGAUUAUGCUACAUGAUGUUACUGGGUGAACUUACCAUCUACUCUCUUCUUCUGCAUCAAGAUGGAGGUUACCAGAAGUGUAGUCUUCGAAAGGACUAGCUAUCCCCCUCUUAUUCCGGCAUUCUGCAGUUCAGCCCACAUAUGAUACCCUUAUUCCAUUUGAUACCAAUGCAUACAUAUGUAGUGUAGCUCCUUGCUUGCGAGUACUUUGGAUGAGUACUCACGGUUGCUUUGCUCCAUCUUUUUCCCCUUUCUAUACUCGAUUUCUACGACUAGACGAUGGAGCCCAGGAGCCAGACGCCACUAUCGAUGAUGACUACUACUACUCGGGAGGUGCCUACUACUACGUGCAGCCCGCUGACGACGACCAGGAGUAGCUUAGGAGGAUCCCAGGCAGGAGGCCUACGCCUCUUUCGAUCAGUAUCCCAGUUUGUGCUAGCCUUCUUAAGGCAAACUUGUUUGACUUAUGUCUGUACUCAGAUAUUGUUGCUUCCGCUGACUCGUCUAUGAUCGAGCUCUUGUAUUCGAGCCCUCGAGGCCCCUGGCUUGUAAUAUGAUGCUUGUAUGACUUAUUUUAUUUGUAGAGUUGUGUUGCGAUAUCUUCCCGUGAGUCCCUGAUCUUGAUCGUACAUGUUUGCGUGUAUGAUUAGUGUAUGAUUGAAUCGGGGGCGUCAUAUCCAGUCCCUAAUGGUGCGAGUUGAACAGGACGACGGGGCCUUCGAAGCCUCGCCAGAGGCGUGCGGGCGCGGCGACGCUGCCGAAGAAGAUGCAAGCAACGAGGAGGGUUCGAGAUGGAGAUGCCUGCGUGGCGAGGAGUGCUCGGGUUGCGGCUUGCUCGCCGGGAAUGCCUGGAGGCGGAAGUCGCCAGCGCAGGGAGGUGAGGUAGCAGGCCAGUGUGGGGUUGGUGCGGUCGGCGGCCAGGGCCGCGGGGCGGAGCUUGGCGGCGUCUCCCUGUCGGAGAUGAAGAUGGGGAGGCGUGGAGGACGCUGGCGCGGGCGGAGGUCGGGGCCGGAGCUCCUGGCCGCAGCGGCGCGGCGCCGGAGCAGGGUCCAGCGACGAGGAGGAAGUCGAGGUCCUGGAGCCGGGCGACAGGAUACGCUGCGUGAGGGAGAGAGCGAAAAAAGGGAAGAGUCCUGCGAGCGAGAGGAAGAGGGAGGGGAAGGGGAGAUAGAGCGAGGCAGCACGCUCGUUGUCCCUUGGUGGCGCAAGGGAGAGAUCGAGAGGGAGAGGGGAGAUGGGAUCGGGCGUGCUAGGGUUACCGCGGGGCGCGGUUGGGCCUUGGAGGCCGGCCCAGAAGAGAAGGGGGCUGCGCCUAGAUCUUGGCUGGGCUCUCUCUCUCUCUUAUUCCCUCUCUUUCCCUUCUAAAGCCUAGAUAAAAAAUAGCAAAGGAAAGAAAAAGAAAGGAAGGGUGGAGACAGGAUUUAGGCAUGGGGAUAAAUUUUCUGGACUCACAAAAAUGUGCACGGUCCGAGAAAAUAGAAAAGAUCAAGUUUGAAAGAUUAAAUUCAAAUUCCUUUGAAUUUAAUUCAAAAGGCUUGAACUAGGAAAGGUUUUUCAAAGUGCCCAAAAAUGUUGAGAAUUUUAGAUGGAGCUCCGGAAAAUGACGAAAGGACAUAUGACAAAGUUAGAGGCCAAGAAUUUUGAUAACUAAAGCAUUGGGAUUUUUGCAAGUGUAUUAUGGUGAAUUUGAAAUUAAAGAAAUAUUGAAUAUAGCUCCUUAUUAUCGGGAGGAUAUGUUUUAAAGAGAAACCACCAUGUAAGUUCCCUCGAUUUAAAUGGAUCAAAGAUCCAUGCCAUUUAUUUAGUUGAGUUAAGAAAAAGAAAUGACAUGAUAGCAUGAUGACAUGAUGCAAUGCACAUGAUGCAAUGAUGAAUGCAACAGACAAAACAAAAUCACACAACGAAACUCGGAAAACAUGGGACGCGUCUGAAGCUCCGGUCUUGAGGUGUCACAGCGCGUUACUCAGGCAGUUUAGGUUGUGAUCAGAAUAUUAUUCUGAUCCCUGAUCAGAAUAGUGUUUAUGUAUGUAUGUAUGUAUAUAUAGGACAAUAUUAUUCUAAUUCUGAAAUUAGAAUAACUAUUUGGAUAGCACCCUGUAUAAGGCCCGCUGGAGGUUCCUGAGAUCCAAAAAUACCACCGAACAAAAAAAAAC
rnacentral:lncRNA from 1 species